ensembl:lncRNA
CAGCUCUUCCUUUCACUUAUUUUACGUGAUUUUUUUUUACGUGUGAAACACGUGAAGUUGGAUUCGAGCGAACACGAGAAACUGUGUGAAUUAUACGUGGUAAAGGACAAAAAAUAACAAAAGAUUCAGAAAAAUACUCUGCGGUCAUGGAUAUCAAACAAUUGCAAACAAAACACAGGUUUAUCAAAAAAAAAAAAACUUUGUUAAAUAUAGGUGUGCAACAAUUAUUGGCACCCUUUUAGUCAACACUUUGUGCUAGCUCCCUUUGCCAAGAUAACAGCUUGUCCUAUAACGCCUGAGGAGGUUGGAGAAGACAUGGCGAGGGAUCUGAGAGCGUUCCUCCAUACAGAAGCUCUCCAGAUCCUUCACGUUUCCAGGUCCACGCUGACGGACUCUCCUCUUCAGUUCACUCCACAGGGUUUCUAUGGGGUUCGGGUCAGGGGACUGGGAUGGUCAGGGCAGGAGCUUGAUUUUGUGGUCAGUAAACCGUUUUUGUGUUGAUUUUGAUGAUGUUUUGGAUCAUCGUCCUGCUGGAAGAUCCGACCACGGCCCAUUUGAAGCUUGGCAUGAUUUGAAAAAACACAUGCUUCGACACUUCUGAAAAAUUGAAAAUGACAUGAAAAAUAAAGCCACAAGCUUUUAAAAUCACAAAGAACCUGAAGUAAUUAUUGACAUGCUGCAUGAAAAUCAUAAAAUGAAUGAAGCGUGUUAAAAAAGAACAAUCCUCACAUGAAAACGAGUCAAACGUGAAGUGUUUAAAAGUGUUUUCACGUUUAACUUGUGAUUAUUCACGUGAAGUUUGUGCAACUUUUCUUUUCUUUUCUUUUCUUUUCUUCAUUGUAUCCCUCUGUUCUUUCUAGAAUUGGGACUUGAAGACUUGAUUUCAUUGAAUGGACAUUUUACAGUGAGAUAGGAGGCCCUUCCUCUCGCUACAUGUAGGUCGCUGCUUCCUUUGUUCUUCUUCUCCGGGGCCUGGAGACUAUUUGACGUCGCCAUGCCAUUCUUUCAAGCCUCGCAUCGCCAUGGAAAUGCACAGGGCCAAACGGCGACGGUGCUGAAGAAGGACAGCGGAGAGCAAGAGAAAGGACUGGUCAAUGAAGUUAAUUGUUGAGAAGAAAAUGGACGCCAGCUCGCUUUUGUUCAGGCAAAAUGUGAGGGAAAGGACAGAUGAAAAAAGUGCAGUUGGUUCCUCCGGUCGGAGUGGCGAGGAAUGGAAAGUGAAAAGUAAAGAACUUAAGGG